rnacentral:rRNA from 1 species
UACGGAAGGUCCGGGCGUUAUCCGGAUUUAUUGGGUUUAAAGGGAGCGCAGGCGGGACCUUAAGCGUGUUGUGAAAUGUACCGGCUCAACCGGUGAUGUGCAGCGCGAACUGGGGUUCUUGAGUGGGUACGACGUCGGCGGAAUUCGUGGUGUAGCGGUGAAAUGCUUAGAUAUCACGAGGAACCCCGAUUGCGAAGGCAGCCGACGAGUCCCUUACUGACGCUAAUGCUCGAAAGUGCGGGUAU